GUGAGCUGUUAGCUCAGCUAGUUUACUGAAGGAGGUAACCAACCCUGUGCACACUUGUUUCCCCUUUUCCCCACGGAGUUUGAAGAUUGUCCUUUCACUGGACGAGUUGAGACCCCCCCCCCCCCCGGGUUCAUCCAAACACAAAUUUAAAGGCUCCAACACGAGAUUCUGCCGGCGCAACUCGGACUUCCCGUUUUGCCAGCAGAAGGAAGAAGUUAAUUCACGGACAGUUGGAAAAGCUACGCCAGCUACCCUCCGAUCACAUCGACUCUGCUGUGUUCCUGUGCGGCCAAUUCAGGAACCAGCUGCCGCGACCGGAACGAGGACAGCACCGUCAGAACCGUACUGGAGCACCCGUGCUGGAUAUUACUGACGGACAUUCACACGCACCUAAUCGCUUGGAAGCAAUCCAAGUUGGUGCUCCUGUCAGACGCUUCGCUACACUACAUAUACCUGCAUCUACUGCAGAGUCAUUGAACUCAGAAUAAUACAGUGGUGGUGCCAUCCGUCCAGCAUCCAUACAGCCACGCCUCUCAAUCAGACACUCUGAUUGGCUGUGACAGCACUCACUGGAGUCAGUAGGAGCGUCCAGUUCGGUGAUGUGAGUCUUUGUCUCCAGACAAACGAGGACCUGGAACUGGUCACUGUGGAAACAGAAGUCCUGCACAAGCCUGAAGCUGCUCUCUGCACAUGCUGCUGUGGAUGAGUGGACUGUGUCUGAGCUUACGUAACACCUGCAUAAGCCCUACAUGACAACCAACAAACACACCGAGCAUUUCAAUCUGCAUGUGUUCUUUGGCUUUAGGGUGAAGAAAUACAUUUGUAAAGAUGUACAUGGGUUAAAAUGCAGAACACUGCAGGCUACGUCCUUGCUCUGUGUCUGAAGAAGUGUCAUCAUUUAAUGCUACCAUAAUUACUCUUGCGCAACAUUCCUUUGUAAUCAAGAGUGAAAGAGCCUUUCAAAAUAAGGUCUGUUGCAAACACAUCUCGCCCUACUUAAAGGAAACUGUUAAUGGAAGUAUGAACAAGCACUGUGACGAACAAUGACAUUACAUUGUGUUUUUUGUGCUUUAUUUGAUAGGAAAAUAGAGAUUGAAAAUGCAGGGGAAUGACAUGCAGCAAAGAGUCCAGCCAGAGCCGGAGGAACUCACUGCUCAGGGCACCUGCACCCACUUGAUGUGUGCCCUAACCACUCAGCUAUCGGGUCACCCUAUACAUGAAUUUUGUGGAUGUGGAUGGGCAGCAGUUGCUAGGUAAUAAGCUAAACUGGGCACUGUUGUGCGUGUUUUCAAACGUUUAUGGACACAGGAUUGAAACAUAACCAGGAAGGAAACAGAAAAGCAGUAGAAGUAAACAUGAAGUUUUAUUUGAGACUAUGAAAUUCUAAAUUAGAAGUGCCUCUUCUCAAAAACCGAGACAAUUUAUGUCCCAGGAAACAAAAUUAAUUUCCCAGGACAGUCACUCAAUAAAGAGAACAAUCCCAGGAAAACAGGAAUAGGUGGCAACUCUAACUCACACAUGUAGCAUGUAACAACUAGCCUGAUGCUAGUUCAGAUAUGUGGAGACAGCUCUGCAGCCGGUACACUGCAUGGGGAUAUGACAGUGCUGUUUGACCCUGACGACCUAUUCUAAAUGAUUGUUUGUAGUUCUAAAGUUACGCUCUGUGUAUGCAUGUUUAGCUUCGUUGAAAUCUUCAGUUUGAAUGUUUAUGAUAAAUCUAAAUGUUGUUGCUGGUGAUAUUUGCUCUUUGAAUUACAAAUCAUGCAGCUUUUCAGGCUGCUGCCGCUUCAUCCUGUCGCCAUGGUUUCGAUGACAGAUUGAUGUUUUAGUCUGCUGAUGUGCUUUUUCUAAAAUGAUUGUACUGAAGUUCUUGUAGCUCCCACAUUUUUCACUUCACACAUACAAUUUAGCUACAAAAUCACCAGCA